rnacentral:rRNA from 1 species
CCUACGGGCGGCAGCAGUGAGGAAUAUUGGUCAAUGGGCGCGAGCCUGAACCAGCCAAGUCGCGUGAGGGAUGACGGUCCUACGGAUUGUAAACCUCUUUUGCCGGGGAGCAAGCGUGCGUUCGUGAACGCGCGUCGAGAGUACCCGGAGAAAAAGCAUCGGCUAACUCCGUGCCAGCAGCCGCGGUAAUACGGAGGAUGCGAGCGUUAUCCGGAUUUAUUGGGUUUAAAGGGUGCGUAGGCGGACUGUUAAGUCAGCGGUAAAAGCCCGGGGCUCAACCCCGGCGAGCCGUUGAAACUGGCUGUCUUGAGAUGUCGAGAGGUAUGCGGAAUGCGCAGUGUAGCGGUGAAAUGCUUAGAUAUUGCGCAGAACUCCGAUUGCGAAGGCAGCAUACCGGCGGCGAUCUGACGCUGAGGCACGAAAGCGUGGGUAUCGAACAGGAUUAGAUACCCUUGUAGUC